rnacentral:lncRNA from 1 species
CUCCAGAAACCAAAUUGUGACCUGCUUUGCACUUCAAACAAUAGCUUCUGCUAUGUAAAUAGUUGUGGAGUUUUCAAGGAUAAGGUUGCUAAAUUACAAGAAAAGUUCCAUACGUGAAAAAUCUCUUCGUGGAUAAACAUUAGUGACAGGAAAUCUGGUCUACACAACACCCAAGGCAGAGGACAGUGGAAGUGAUGACGGCUCAGGAACCAUUUCAACUCCCUAUUUGGUUGGCCUUCUUUGAGAUUCUCUCCAGAUCCACGGCCCUUCCACCCCGAGUCCCUGCAUCCAGAGCGGCAGCGAGUGCCUCUCUAAAGAGAAAGCUCUCUCCGCCACAUCUUUCUUGAGAACAAAUUUGCUCCAUUCCUAUCUUCUUGGCGGGUGAGUAAGUUUACCCUGGGUAGCAUUACUGCUUGUUUUUCAUUAUUCUGUUUUCCUGGCCGGGCUGUGCAAUUCCUCUCCUCGUAAUUUUCCUUGGU